UACGUAGGGUGCAAGCGUUGUCCGGAAUUAUUGGGCGUAAAGAGCUCGUAGGCGGUCUGUCGCGUCGGCUGUGAAAACCCGGAGCUCAACUCCGGGCCUGCAGUCGAUACGGGCAGACUGGAGUUCGGCAGGGGAGACUGGAAUUCCUGGUGUAGUGGUGAAAUGCGCAGAUAUCAGGAGGAACACCGGUGGCGAAGGCGGGUCUCUGGGCUGACACUGACGCUCAUGCACGAAAGCGUGGGGAGCAAACAGG
rnacentral:rRNA from 1 species